AUUCUCCCACUUCUUCCUGGCAGCUCUAGCAUCUUACUUCCCCAGCCACAGCCUGUUUCAUCUCCAGCCUUUCUCCCUGGACAGGAGUGGGGAAAGGAGUGCUGGAUUCGGAGCUCCUCCCUCCCUGCACCGCCUCAUUUUCUCCUCCGGGUCUGGCGCACAGUGGCCAUUGCCGAUGCACCCUGAAGACUGAAGGAGCCAGGGCAGAGCCAGGAUCCUGCGAGCCAUGGCCCUGGCUGCCUUGCUGAGCCUCCCGGAACCCAGGUCAUCAGGGAACCUGAAGAUUGGAUCUUCUGAGAACAUCAGAGAAAGAGUGCCCCUGCCAUCCACACUGCAGCAAACAUCAGAACCGUGAACCUUGGGUUCAUAAUCUCUCAACUGAGAAGGAUCCCUCCGCAUUCUUGGAACUGCACACCCAUCGAAACCCUUAAGGUGUCAAACUUUCUCAGUCAGAAGUUGACAUAAGGAAGUGACCAGCUUCAGGUCUCCUUUGAAGCUCCCAGCCUAGCUUUCUUUUGAAUCUCUGCUCUUCAACCACAAUGACUUAUGUACCCCAAGACCCCUCCACCUCCUGGCUGCCUGUGAUCUUCCUGCACCUAGCACUCAGCAAAGGGUCUGAUAUUUAGAUAGCACUCAAUCAAUAUGAAGAAUUUAAAGUAUAGUGACAAGGUGGUGCCCACACUGGAUGGUCUGUAUGCUGUGGUCUCAUCAGGGACCUUUCUCUGCACCGCAUUUUUCCUGAGAAAUCCCAGAGUUCAAUAAAUACCUGUGUAUGUCAGAGCUAGACA